GGUUAAGUUAGUAAGGGCGCACGGUGGAUGCCUUGGCACUAGGAGCCGAAGAAGGACGUGACAAACGACGAAAUGCCUCGGGGAGCUGUAAGUAAGCGACGAUCCGUGGAUA
rnacentral:rRNA from 1 species